AUGGAGUUACACCAACCAUGA
rnacentral:snRNA from 1 species